AUUCCUGCUUACUACACAUGAUACAGGACCCUUCUCUGAGGAGGCCACUGGAUCUUGGUAGAGAAGCUGCUGGCCUAUAUAAAUUGGCUUGGGUCCCUUCUUCCCCUUCUCCCUCUGUUAGUUGUUCCUCUACUUUUGUUUGUCCUGUAUCUGCUUCUUGUAAUGAUAGCAAAGUUGUUACAUUGCCUUCUGUGUCUGUUUCUUGUAAUGAUGACAUCCUGUUUGAUAACAAGGCUGUUCCUUUGCCUUCACAUGUGAAUAGUUCCAUUUGUAAUAAUGAUUUUGCAUCUGAUAUGAAUUACAAUUGGCACUUAAGACUUUCUCAUACUCCUUUUGCAAAUAUGAAAUGUAUUUCUGGUCUGUCUUUUUCAUUUGCUUCCAAACAACCUUUUCCAUGUUCAGUCUGUCUUAUGGCCAGACAGACUAGGUUUCCAUUUCCUGAUAUUUCCAUUUGACUUCUAGACCCUUUCAACUGAUUCAUGUUGACACUUGGGAACCUUAUCAUACUCCAACCUCUUCUAGUUGUAAAUAUUUCCUUACAAUUGUUGAUGAUUUUUCAAGGGCAACAUGGACACAUUUAAUGGGCGAAAGUUCCAACCGAUACUCACUUGAGGACAUUUGGUUGCCACUGUCCCAAUCCCUCAAAGGGACAAGUUAAAGCCAAGAGCCAUUCCUUGUGUUUUCAUGGGAUAUCCUUUUGGCAAAAAGGGUUAUAGGUUAUAUGAUCUUGCUUCAAAGAAGUAUUUGGUCUCCAGGGAUGUCAUAUUUCAUGAAUCAUGNNNNNNNNNNNNNNNNNNNNNNNNNNNNNNNNNNNNNNNNNNNNNNNNNNUCUCUAGGGAUGUCAUAUUUCAUGAAUCAUGUUUUCCUUUUAAAUCUGUGUCUUCUUCUGCUCUUCCUUCUGCUUCAUCUUUUCCCUUUGUUCCUUUUGGAGAACAUGAUGAUGAUUCUGAUUCUCCCAUACUCCUCUCUCCUCCCUCUUCUCCAUCAACUGUGCAAGUGCCUUAUCCUGCCUCUGUCUCUACUGAUUCUGCCUUCCCUUCUCCUUUCAAUCCUGACAUCUCACCUCCUGUUUGCCUUCUUCUCCUUCUGUUCCUGCUCCCAAAAAGUCUCAAAGACAGCAUAAUCCUCCUUCAUAUCUUAAGGAUUAUGUCUGUCAACUACCUGC
rnacentral:lncRNA from 1 species